rnacentral:rRNA from 1 species
UACGUAGGGUGCGAGCGUUGUCCGGAAUUACUGGGCGUAAAGAGCUCGUAGGUGGUUUGUCGCGUUGUUCGUGAAAACUCACAGCUCAACUGUGGGCGUGCGGGCGAUACGGGCAGACUGGAGUACUGCAGGGGAGACUGGAAUUCCUGGUGUAGCGGUGGAAUGCGCAGAUAUCAAGAGGAACACCGGUGGCGAAGGCGGGUCUCUGGGCAGUAACUGACGCUGAGGAGCGAAAGCGUGGGGAGCGAACAGG